UGCGUAGGCGGCUUCUUAAGUCUGGUGUGAAAUCUCCCGGCUCAACUGGGAGGGUGCGCCGGAUACUGAGGGGCUAGAGUGUGGGAGAGGAAAGUGGAAUUCCUGGUGUAGCGGUGAAAUGCGUAGAUAUCAGGAGGAACACCGGUGGUGUAAACGGCUUUCUGGACCAUUACUGACGCUGAUGCACGAAAGCGUGGGUAGCAAACAGGAUUAGAUAUCCUGGUAGUCCACGCCCUAAACGAUGCAUAUUUGGUGUGGGCCAUUCAGUUGGUCCGUGCCGGAGCUAACGCGUUAAAUAUGCCGCCUGGGGAGUACAGUCGCAAGGCUGAA
rnacentral:rRNA from 1 species